GUCACGUGUGCUCCCUGACUUAAUCCCAACAGAGGCAGAUGUUAUCUUCUCGUUUACAGCUGGGAACAGGGAGCCUUGCUCAAGGUCCCUCAGAGCGUAAGCAAGCUGGGACUCCUGCCCAGUCUGUCUGACACCGAAGGCCGUAUUCUUUCUCUUGGACGGUUCCAGUGCCUCCAUGUCUGAAACCAAACAGGUCAAAGAGGAGAGGAGAUGCACUUCCACCUCCACCCCCGUCUGCUGAUCUGGCUUUGCAAGCCCUGAGUACAAGGAGGACAGAGGUGCACCUCGCACAUGCUGAGAUCCUGGAAAAGCUCCUAUGUUUUGGACCUAUGAGGUCAAGCUUGCUGAGAAAAGUUAUGUCGGAGUCUGCCUGACUAAAUAAAGAAACAAACCUUCUUGUUGUCUUUGGAGGGGAGAGAAGAGGGAAGGCAGAACUGUGUUGCUCCGUGGAUUUGCCCAGUUGUACCUCACCCACCUCUAAAAGGCCUUGAACCAGACUAAUAUUUUCUCCCCAUUUACCUGUCCAGGACAACAGGGAACCUACGUGAAGAAAAAGAAAAAUAGAAAUCACACAGAGGAGCAGAAACGCUUUCAAGCAGCCAAGGCCCAUCAGUACCCAGAACUUUCAGACUGUCUGGGGAUUUCGACCCUUUAUUUCUUGAGGUGUGGUCUUCCCUUCCUCGAGUGCCCCCUGCUUCUUCCUUCUGCUUUGUGCAUCUGCUCAACAAGAAAUCCCCAUCGCCAUCAGCCAGAUGUUUGCUGAGCCUCUUUUGGAGCCCAGGUCACCCUGGAGGCUGUGGGGAUAUUUCUAAAAGCAUUAUGUGGUCUGGGGGAGCUGACAUCUUGGAGUGGCAGUUAUCUUCGGGGUUGAGGGGCCUCCGCAGGCCCCUUGCAGUCAGUCUGUCCCAGCCCUGCCCAGCCCUAGCACCUGGCACUUACUGAUCCACUUUCUUUCUUCCUCUUAUUUUGUUUAUUUUUAAGUUUAUUUAUUUAUUUAGAGACAGGUACCCUGGCCACGCUCCAAUCCUGGCUGGCUCCGAGCCAGCAAGGGCCAUGUCUGCUGCUUCCUCCCAGUGGCUUCCUGCCCCCUGCCCCACCAUGGCUGGGCCGGGAUCCACUUUUUGUCACUCAGUUUUGCCUUUUCUAGCCCAUUUCUCACAAAUGGGCUCACACAGCACAGAGUCUGAGGUCUGGCUUCUCUCACUUAGCAUGUUUCUGAGCCGCCACGCUGUAUCUGUUAGAAGGCUUCUCCCUUUCCUUGCUGAGCAGUAGUGCCCUGCAGGGUGCACCCGGUUACCCACUGGCCAGCUGAGGGACAUUUGGGCGAUCUCCUUUGGGAGGGUGUGGGGCCUGGUGUGAAGAUUCCUGUAGGAGUCUCUGUGUGUGGCUUUGGCUCUUUUUGAAAAAAGGGGGUGAACAAGAAGUUGAAGAGGAACUUGGAGGAACCCCAAGGGCAAAGAGUCCCCCACGUCCUCCUCACAGUCCAGUGUGACCACAGACUGCCAGAAGCCUCUCUCCACAUGCUCUUCCCUCCCUCUGCCCCACCCAGCCCUUUGCUCUGAACAAAAGGUCGGGCCAGGGGAGCGCAGUGGUAUGUUUAUUUCCUCAUCUCCAUGGUGCUAGGGAAGCUGCACUGGGUCAGAAGCUCCCUGCUGCCCCAGCCCUGCUGGCGUUCCUAGUGAUCCUGCCCAGGGUCACUCCUUCCAGCACAUUCUAUCUACCUUCCCUUCUGUAGCCCUCCAUGGUCCAUGCGGAUCUAGCCCCCUGGUCACAUUUCAGAGCCCCAGGCCCCUCAGUGCCGGUCCUUGCGGACCUCAGUGGUCUUGCCUGGCCGUCUCAUGAUCCCCACCCCAGGGAGGCGGCGGAAGGAGGGCCUGUUACCUCACCCUGCAGACGGGAGGCAGGGGCUCGGGGAAGCAGAGUGACUUGCAUGGGAUGACACGCCUCUCCCUUUCCUACAGCUGCCCCCCACACAGCAAGCCCCCAAAUGUCUGGCCCUCACUCUUAGGUGAAGAAUGGGAACACUUCGAUUCUAGAAUUCCUUAUAGCACAAGGGACAACUAAGUAACAACAGAAUUAAAUAUUCACAGACCAUGAGUCUGACACACCUGGCGUUGGUCAAAGAACUUGACGACUAUUAACCCAUUUUAACCUUCUACAUAACUACCCUACUGGGCCAGGCACAGUCAUUAUCCCCAUUUUACGGGUGAGGACACUGAGGCCCAGAGAGGGUAAGUAACUGGGCCCGGGUCACACAACCAGGAGCCUGGAAACCAGCAGUGAGCUACCACACUCUGCCACACAUGGAGUUGUUUCUUUUUCUAGUCAUUGAAUUUCCGAACCAGUUUUAUUGCGGUGUAAUUUACAUACCAUAAAAACCACCCGUUUUAAUUGCAUAAUGAAAUAAUUUUAGUAAAUUUGUAGAAUUGCACAAACAUUGUAUCAAGCCAAUUUUAGAACAUUUCCAUCAGCCCAAGGAAGAUCUUCCGUGCCCGUCUGUUGUCACUGUUGGUUCUGACCCCAGCCUGAGGCAACCAUUCAUCUGCUUUCUGUCUCUGUAGAUUAGCCCUGGAAAUUUCUUAUAAAUAGACUCAUAAAUAUGUGGUCCUCUGUAUCUGGCUUCUUUCACUCAGCAUAAUGUCUCUGUGGAUGAGCCAGCCAGAUGGUAGCAUGAGUCAGUCCUUUAUUCCUUUUUAUGGCUAAAUAAUAUUCUGUUGUGUGGAUACAUUACACUCAGGGUUUUUGGGCUUUUUUCUCUCUCUCUCUUUUUUGGAAAGGUUUUUGCUACAGGGCGCGUGC